rnacentral:rRNA from 1 species
UACGUAGGGGACGAGCGUUGUCCGGAAUUACUGGGCGUAAAGGGCGCGCAGGCUGUGCUGCAAGUCAGCUGUUAAAGACUGGGGCUUAACCCUGGUAUGCGGUUGAGACUGCAGUACUGGAGUGCUGUAGAGGCAAGUGGAAUUCCCAGUGUAGCGGUGAAAUGCGUAGAUAUUGGGAAGAACACCGGUGGCGAAGGCGACUUGCUGGGCAGCAACUGACGCUGAGGCGCGAAAGCCAGGGGAGC